AUGGCUCGCCCGCUUCCUCGCCGCCUCGCUCUCUUCUGCGUCCUGGCCUCCUGCAUUGCGCUCGCGCUCGCGGCGGGCACCACCCGUCCGAGCCGGCGGGGCCUCGCCGUAGGCGACAGCCAGGACGGAGGGGCUAGCGACGUCGGGGUUGGCGGUGGCGGCGGGUACGACGACAGCUUGAUGCCCCGGCCGGCGCCGUCGUCCGAGCCGAGGGCGUGCCAGUUCGAGAACGAGCGGCUGUACAGGGCGUACCUGGUGAUCCAGAAGUUCAGGAAGACGGUGAUCUGCGACCCCAAGGGCGUCACCGCCACCUGGGCCGGCACCGACCUCUGCGGCUCCUACAAGGGCUUCUUCUGCGGGCGGCCGAUCAACGUCAGCGACCGGACCGUCGCGUCCGUCGACCUCAACGGCUUCAACCUGCGGUCCGACUCGCUGCAGGGCUUCGUGGACGGCCUGCCGGACCUCGCGCUGUUCCACGCCAACUCCAACAGCUUCGGCGGCGCCGUGCCCAACCUCCGGGGCCUGCAGUACUUCUACGAGCUGGACCUGAGCAACAACAAGCUGGCGCCGGCCCCGUUCCCGACGGACGUGCUGGGGCUCACCAACGCCACCUUCAUCGACAUCCGCUUCAACAGCUUCUUCGGCGAGCUGCCGGCGGGGCUCUUCGGCUCCUUCCCGGAGGUGGAGGCCAUCUUCGUCAACAACAACCGCUUCUCCGGCCAGCUCCCGGACAACCUCGGCGACUCGCCCGUCAACUACCUCUCCCUCGCCAACAACGACUUCACGGGGCCCAUCCCCUCCUCCAUCGGCCGCGCCGCCGGCACGCUCCUGGAGGUGCUCUUCCUCAACAACAGCCUCGGCGGCUGCCUCCCCUACGAGCUCGGCCUGCUGGCCAGGGCCACGGUCAUCGACGCCGGCACCAACCGCCUCACCGGCACCAUCCCGCUGUCGUACGCGUGCCUGCGGAGCGUGGAGCAGCUCAACCUGGCGGACAACCUGCUGUACGGCGUGGUGCACGACUCGCUCUGCCGGCUCGCCUACGACGGCCGCCUCGCCAACCUCACGCUCUCCGGCAACUACUUCACGUGGCUCGGGCCCUGCUGCUGGGACCUGGUCAGGGAGGGGAAGCUCAACGUCGACCGCAACUGCAUCCUCUGGGCGCCCAACCAGCGCUCCUUCCACGAGUGCGCCCAGUUCUUCCACGACAACUGGAGCAGGAUGACGUGCCCCGUCAGCAAGUACGUGCCGUGCCACCCCAAGUGGUACGCCGUCGACGCCGCCUCGGCCAGGGAGGAGCCCGCGGCGGCGGAGGAGUACAAGUACCGGACCUACUCGGCCUUGCACCCGUAA
rnacentral:rRNA from 1 species